UUAGAAUUUUAUGAAUCAUGAUGCCAUACUAAAUACGUUAUAACGCCCAGUUUCAGAAAUUAAAAAUUGUAUUUUCCCUACCUAACUCCUUGACUACUUUUCGACGUCUGGCAUAAAUGGAUUCGAAUUUCCCGAAGAGCUUUUGGGAAAUUCAAUCUUCCAACAGCAGCCAUAUUGCCGUUCUUGACUUCUGAGCCCAAGGUCACAGAGUAAGGAUAUACAGAGGCGGAACUCGAGGCAAAUCAUGUCCCCACUUUUUUAAUGCGCAUGCGCGACCCUCUGGCAAGUGUCAUGCACAUUUUUAUCAGGAAAAAGAUAGGGAAAUGCAAAACUUUGACAGUAAAACGGCGAUUUUAAGCGCAGUAACCGAUCAAUCUUCAUUUUCUGCACGAAUUUUGCAAAUAAAUGGCACACUGCGUCUUCUUAGCAAAAGCGAAUUGAACGAAAACCAUUUUUAACGGCGAAAAUGAGAAAAGACACCCGAAGGAGUGAGAAUUUCUGGCAAUCUGAUUCGAUUCUGUAGACCUGAACUCCAGCUGGAACUUGCCAACUUUAUAUGUGAGUUUUUUUUCUCUAGCUCAUAUAUAUCAAAUUAUCAAUAUAUUUUUGUGAAGUGCAAUGUUGUAUCAAAGGGUUGUCGUUAAUUUAAACAUUGCAUAAACAGCAUUCAGAUACGAAAAUGAACAUCAACAUUCAACAUGGACUGAUGGAGUCAUGGACAUGGAGCCACAGUACUCUAAAGUACUCGUAUAGACUUUAUUUAACUUAUAUGUUGACCCAAUGGUGGGGGAUUGAUCAAAUUAUACUUUAUAGUGAUUCCCCUAGACUAGUGCAUUGGUUAUAUAUUGACAGUGCACUGACAACCUUUUUUUGGCUCUCAAAGAUCAAUUUCUCAGACAUGCCAAGUCACUGUACAUGUUUUAAAACAAAAAUCUAAUCUGUUUAUUUUAUUUUGCUUUUCUAGAUUGCCAAUCAUUCCUGUUGAACUACAUUAUUCAUUACAAUGAAUCAGAUGCAGACGAAUCUUACAACUAUGUUAAUUUGUUUGCCUGAUUGGGGAAAACCUGAGACUAUUUGAUCUUAUUGGAAUGCCCACCAAGUUUACAUAGCCUCAGGCAAUGUUUAUAUAAUUAAUCUUGAGUAAUAGAGAUGCUGUACCCCCUGAGGGAGUGAUCCUACUACCUGGAUCAUCCCACUAGGCAAGACAAGUUCAAAACUUUCCAUGCAAACACGGCCUGCAUGGCAGUUGCUAUAAUAGGAUAUGAAUAUAAUUUUGCCUUGCCAGGGUGGCUCGGAUUUCCCUAGUACCCGGAGACCAUAUAAACAGGCCUUCAGAUUACUGUAAUAGUUUAAUUGAGGUUCAAAAAGCAGCCCUACCCCCCCCCAAUGCAACUAAAAGUGGUAGGCCUGCUUCCCAAAUCCAGCCCCCCUUGGAAGAUGUACUGUAAAGCUAGACAAUUUUACUUGUUAAACCAUUGAGUCGUGCCCUACUUUAUUAUUUUACUCUUUUACUUGUCAAGGGGAGAGCACACUUUAACAGGGAAAGGAUUAAUUGGGAAUACUUUCUCUUUUAAUGGGAAACUCUUUAUCAAUAAAAGAAACAAUGCAAUUAUUCAUAGUAUUUAACUUUUCAUAUAAAGCAAAGACUAUAAGAGGAAACAUGGAUCAUUUGGCUACUUUUUUAUUUAGUAUUAAUUUUCAUGAAAGCAUGUGGGGUCAACUAUAAAGGAAACACUUAUUGCCUAUUUUGGAAUAAAAAAUUACAAUUUGCAAUAUUUAUUGACAUUGAACACAUAUUUAUUUGGUUUCUGAAUAAUUUAAGUUCUUAAAUGUAUAUAAAUGUGAAAUAAAAUAAACAACAUUUAUUAAAAUGAACUUUGUAUUUUUAAACCACAAUUACACUGUCGUAUUUACAUUUCACUGUAGUAUUUACACUGUCAGUAGUAAUUACACUGUGGUAUUUACAUUUCAAGACCCAACAUCAUUCCUUGCCUCAACCAAGAUCCUCUGGAGAACUUCUUUGGCCUCAUUAGGCAGCAAGGGGGGGGGGGGGUUGUGACAACCCAUUAGUCCCAUCCAGUUCACCAGAGCAUUUUGCAAAUUAUUUGUAGAUAAUAUUUUGACACCACUUUCAAUUGGCAGCUGUGCUGAAGAUUCUGAUGCCUAUUUGAUUGCAUUUCACCCUAGCCAAUCUGAUUUAUCUGCAGGAAAUGAUCAGACAAGCCCACCACUAAUCCAAGCAGUUGAAGAUACCGACUGCAAAACAAAUGAAAUUGAACAAAACUUAAAUAGUCUGCAUGAACUUAUGUGUCAGGCUAUUUAUUAAGAAAGUGCCUUAUCCAACAUAGCUGUCCAAUAUGCCAUCAUAAUUUUGUGACAAAGGAUGUCAAUGACAGUAGUCUCUGCUAUUCUGCAUGUUCAAGACCUUUGAAGGCAUAAGCAGUGCAGGCGAAUUAACAAUCCGUAAAGAAAAGUUUCUUUGCUGGAGAAUACAUUUGUGAAUGUGGUUAACAGUUGCACAGAAAGUAUUAAAAACAUGGGUAGUUUAACUUUUAAUUUUUGCUCACAAAUCCCAAAGCUACAUGGAACCUGAUGGAAGUGUGCAAUGGAAGUGUUUCAAAUCAGCAACCAUGCUUUCUUAUUAAUGUAAAAGACAGGAAAGCAAUACGUUUGGCCAUUAAUUUAGCGAGAUGGGAAUCUGCUUCUUGGCAGAACAUCACAAGCACCGAGAUUGUAAAAUAUGGCCAUUGUUCUGUUUGAAUACACACGUUUUUAAGACAGAGAAUAUAAAAACAUAUAUUUGGCGUGAACGCAUU